UACGGAGGGGGCUAGCGCUGUUCGGAAUUACUGGGCGUAAAGCGCACGUAGGCGGCUUUGCAAGUCAGAGGUGAAAGCCCGGGGCUCAACCCCGGAAUUGCCUUUGAGACUGCAUCGCUAGAAUUGUGGAGAGGUAAGUGGAAUUCCUGGUGUAGCGGUGAAAUGCGCAGAUAUCAGGAAGAACACCCGUGGCUAAGGCGGCUCUCUAGUACGGUACUGACGCUGAGACGCGAAAGCGUGGGGAGCGAACAGG
rnacentral:rRNA from 1 species